GAAAAGCCUAGGCUCCAUAACCUACAAAAAAGCUUUAAAACUCUCCAUUCUAUUUCAUACCAACUCAAAUUAAUGAAUUACAAGAAAAAAGCUGAGCUAAAACAAUCAAUUUUCAAAAUUCAUUUCCCAGAAAUUUUACUUUGGAGUAGUAAAACAAAAUAAAAUACCAUUGCUGAGAUGAUUAGUACUUGAUUAAUUCCUAUACUAAUUCCUAAGACCAAGUUGAUUGCUCAGGUUUCAUCAUGCCCUCAAUCUCCACCAGGAUAUUUCAGGUUAGAUAUCUUGUUGAUUGUCUUUCUGGGCUUGGUUUUCCAGUUGUCUUCUCUCUAUGGUCUGAAAAACAGUCAUCUUAUCUUCUGUCUAAACAGCAAGGAGAAAACUAAAGUGUGUGUCUGUAGACAGAACAUAGUCCUAACUCCUCUGCUUUUCAUUCUUUGUAUUAUAGUGUUGUUAACUGAUGUUAGCUCUGUUCAUCAAUAAACUUCUGCUUUAAAGUUUAUUUUCUCUCUCUCCUCUCUUGGUGAUGAAUUGCUGACACCUUAUCAUAUAAUUUAACUGUAGGAAAUCUUUGAUUUGGCUGUCUAAAUAUCAGAUGCGGGGCAAUGCUUGGCUAAGUACCACCACAGAGAGUCAGGAUCAAGAGCUGUCAGAAGCAAGUAGGGAUGGGAAGGCUGUAAGUUGGAUUUUUGUCGGUUAAAUAUGACCCCACUUGGAAGAACAUUAGUUUAUGCUUCAGAUAGUUAGGAACAAAAACAGCAACUUCACUGCAAUUCUUCCACAGAAGUCUUUGGAAAUAUGUAUUGUCACCGUGCUGUUUUCGUAACAUUUUCCAGGAACUGGUAAUGAUUAGCUGGUGAUCUUUCUUGGAAA